rnacentral:rRNA from 1 species
GUCUAUAGUCAUACCACACUGAACAUGCCUGAUCUCUUCUGAUAUCAGAAGCUUAAGCAGGGUCAAGGAUGCUUAGUACUUGGAUGGAAGAACUAGUGGGAAUACAGGCUGCUAUAAGCC